rnacentral:rRNA from 1 species
UAAAGUGGCGCACGGGUGAGUAACGCGUGGGUAAUCUACCUCUGAAUUGGGGAUAACAUUGUGAAAGCGAUGCUAAUCCGAAUAAUAUCCCGAGAACUUAGGCUUUUGGGUCAAAGGUGGCCUCUACAUGUAAGCUACUGUUUAGAGAUGAGCCCGCGUACCAUUAGCUUGUUGGUAGGGUAAUGGCCUACCAAGGCAACGAUGGUUAGCUGGUCUGAGAGGAUGAUCAGCCACACUGGAACUGACACACGGUCCAGACUCCUACGGGAGGCAGCAGUGAGGAAUUUUGCGCAAUGGGGGAAACCCUGACGCAGCAACGCCGCGUGAGUGAUGAAGGCUUUCGAGUCGUAAAGCUCUGUCAAGUGAGAAGAACCUACUUUUUGUUAAUACCAUUAAGUACUGACGGUAUCACUGAAGGAAGCACCGGCUAACUCCGUGCCAGCAGCCGCGGUAAUACGGAGGGUGCAAGCGUUAUUCGGAAUUAUUGGGCGUAAAGGGCGCGUAGGCGGUCUUUUAAGUCAGAUGUGAAAGCCCGGGGCUCAACCCCGGAAGUGCAUUUGAAUCUAAGGGACUUGAGUAUGGGAGAGGGAAGUGGAAUUCCUGGUGUAGAGGUGAAAUUCGUAGAUAUCAGGAGGAACACCGGUGGCGAAGGCGACUUCCUGGACCAAUACUGACGCUGAGGCGCGAAGGCGUGGGGAGCAAACAGGAUUGGAUACCCUGGUAGUCCACGCAGUAAACGG